UACAGAGGGGGCAAGCGUUGUUCGGAAUUACUGGGCGUAAAGGGCGCGUAGGCGGCCUUCUAAGUCGAACGUGAAAUCCCUGGGCUCAACCCAGGAACUGCGUCCGAUACUGGAAGGCUUGAAUCCGGGAGAGGGAUGCGGAAUUCCUGGUGUAGCGGUGGAAUGCGCAGAUAUCAGGAGGAACACCUAUGGCGAAGGCAGCACUCUGGUACAUGACUGACGCUGAGACGCGAAAGCGUGGGGAGCAAACAGG
rnacentral:rRNA from 1 species